GCGUGGCCGAGGUGACCCGGGGUGCUCCCCAGCCUGGGUGAGGGUCUCGGGCUCGCGGACAGUGACAGGAAUCAGGAGCGCACAGGAACCCGCGAGGCAGCCAGGGACGCCGGCCGCAGACGUUCAGACCUAGAUCUGAAUGACACUCAUUUGGGUAAUCAAGAGUCCUGGGAGCUGGGCUCAGCUUGGGAGGGGACUGCGGGGCAUGGCACACUGAGUGCCCCUGAGCCUAUUGCUCCUUCUUGGUGGUGCGUUAUGGGUUCCGCCUUGGGCAAGCAGGGAGCAGAGAGGGAGAGAAAGAGGGAAGGAGCGCCUGCAGGACUGCGCUGGAGAACCGAGACGGCCCAGGGCGAGCGAUGCAAGUGAAAGAAACGGCCAGGAAAUUGAGAUGCGAAGGGCAUUUUUUGGCAAGCACCACACCAGCACCGUCGGAGGCCAGCUUCUUGGGCUUAGCCCUCGGGUGUGCCGAGCUGGCAGCCUGGUAAGGGGGCGGGCGGACUGCUCUCUCCGGAUGAUUUGGGGGGGCACAGAACCUCCUCUUUCCCUCCCCCACAAACACCCCUUCCUGGUAGAGGCUCAAAACAGGUGCAGCCUUCGAGGCAAGUUUAGACCUGAUCAGGAGAGAAGUAUAUCCCCCGCUUUUUGCCUUGAUAGAAUUGUUUUUAAAAUAAAAUGCAAAUGUAAAUAUGCCAAAUGCGAGCUAUUGCCUGAGAAAGCCUGAGAUUUUGCUGUGGGAAAGGAGAAGAAAGGGUUAGGGGAGUCCGAGCAGGCAGACACACUACAGCAUUCACACGCAGAAGAAAGCAGCGCUCUCCUCCCCAAGCUUGGGUGAGGGCAGGCAAGGAAGCAAAAUACAUUGAAUUCAACAGCAUCCAGGAUCUGAAAGGAUUCUCCCCCGCCCCCCUGUGGAUUCCAAUGCAGGUCAUGAAACUUGCAGGCAAGAUGGGGGAAGGGGUAUUGCGGUGCCACCGGCCUGCCCCUAGUGCCACCGACAGACAGACCCGAUGGCUCGCCGGAACACUUUUUGCUGGGAGUAAACUUGGGUGAAAGGAAGAAAAGAAAAGAUCAUGCCUAUAAAAGGCAGUUUCCCCGACUUCUCAUUACACUCUGCCUUCCUUUUGCCCCAGUGAGACUUUUACACCCUGUCGCCAUGAUGGCCUUGUCCCCAGAAUGGCAUUUUGCCCUCCCGCCAGCAGGAGGGGACAGAGUGGAGACAGCCUUAGACUCUCAAACCAGAACCUACUGGCUGCAGGCCAGUCCCUGGUGUCCUUGUCCACUGGGAAUCUCCCUGACACUUCAAGUGCCAUUCCGAGUGACUUUGGGGUUCUCUGAGAGGCAGGGAGACUAAGGUGUAGCCAACACACUGGAACUUGGCCUCUCCUGGGAGAUAGCAGAGGAGAAAUUGGAAGCAUUUCCCAGACUACCCCAGGGGGACAGAGUAGCUGACUGCCUGAGGGGAUUUAGCAGGGCUCCAACAAGGAGAAAAGCGUAGUUGUAUCUUAAAGGGUGCCCCGCCCAUUUUUAAAGACAAGGAUGAUUUUUAAUACUGCCUGCAAAGAAAGGAUGCUCCCCAUAAAUCGGGUUUCAAAGCAAAACUUUGGAAACCUCUUCAGAGAGGGAAAAUUCAGGCCGUGAAGCAAGGGACUCUGACUGGACAAGAAGUCUUCCAUUCUUGACCAUGGGUGGAGUGAAGGUAAGGUGCUAGGGGCUCUGAGCCCACUUAGGAAGUAAAGCUUAAAAAUGAAGAAGGCUCUUUUUUUUUUUUUUUUUUAUGCAAGUGGAAAGAGCAGAGUUCUACUUAUGACCAUGAACGAAUGGAUUUACACUCUGGGCCUCAGCUUUCAAAUCCAUGAAAUGACCACACGGAACCAGGUCUUUGCUCUCCUCUAACUGGCGACAUCCACAGUCCCUGCACGCUUGUGAUAGAUAGUACAACUCCUUGGGCCCCAUCAGAGACUUCCCAAACCAAACAUUUUAAGAAGUACCCCCAGGUGAUUGACAGGCAUGGGGAGGGGGCAGCUUCAGAGCCCCUACAGCUUGAAUCAUCUCUGGUUCUCCACGAGCCUUGGAAGAAGGGACACAUUAGAAGGGAACAGGGAUUGCAGGUAGGCUCCCAGAAGCAUCCAGUUAGAAUAAACAGAACGUCUUGGGUGCCUGCAAAAACAGAACUUUGGGGCUGGCAAGAUGGCUGUCAUCAAUAAAGUAUUAAUCACACAU
ensembl:antisense predicted gene 9885